rnacentral:lncRNA from 1 species
UUAUCAUAUACACGAUAAAAUUACUCAAAUAUUAAGAAACUGUAUACAUGUAAUGACUACAUUUGGUGCAUUUUGAAUGUUAACACAGAACUGCACUGGGAACAAAAACCAUUAAGACUAGGAGAAUCCGUAAUACCUGUGUAACGUCGGUCUUAGACAGGGUAUCUACUGUUACAUUCCAGGUUUAGAGUUUAUAUCCCCUGAGACCUAAACUGUAUAUAGUAUUCAAGUCUUAGACAAGAUAUAUAAUGUGAUAUUUAAGGCUGCGAGUUUAUAUUACCUGAGACGACUGCGGAGGGGAUUUAAACCUUAAGUCGGCAAUACGACA